UUCUUCUCCUCCUUCUUCUCCUUCUUCUUGUCCUUCUUCUUUUCUUCUUAUUCUCCUCUUCCUUCUCCUUCUCCUUCUCCUUCUCCUUCUCCUUCUCCUCCUCCUUCUCCUCCUCCUUCUUCUUCUUUUUCUUCUCCUUCUUCUUCUCUUCUUGCUUCUUCUCUUUCUUCUUCUAUGUAGGUUAUUUUCCCCAACAAAGACAUACUUAGCUAAUUAUCCUCCAAAAUAACAUAAUUAGCAU
rnacentral:lncRNA from 1 species